CAUGAUGGAAAUAUUCCGUCAUGCAGGUCUUUAACUUCUGAAGCCGUGUCCUUAAGGGGUUAAAUCCCUGUAGCCUCACAAACAGCAGAAGGCUACCUGCAGAGCAACGUUUAAGCCCUGUGUCUUCAUUUGCACUUCAUGCUUUCAACAGCUCUAAUCUGCAGGGGUAACUUUUAAACACACUAAGUACCUGAAGGAAAGCAUGACAUCCCUAAAUCCAGCAAAG